UGGUGGAGUGAUUUGUCAGAUUAAUUUCGAUAACGAACGAGACCUUCACUGUUAACUAGCCCGCAUUGCUUUGGCAGUGCGCUGGCUUCUUAGCGGGACUAUUGGCGCGAGCCAAUGGAAGUUGGAGGCGAUAACA
rnacentral:rRNA from 1 species